rnacentral:rRNA from 1 species
GACGAACGCUGGCGGCGCGCCUAACACAUGCAAGUCGAACGAGCGAGAGGAGGUUUACUUUCUCAAGCGAGUGGCGAACGGGUGAGUAACGCGUGAGGAACCUGCCUCAAAGAGGGGGACAACAGUUGGAAACGACUGCUAAUACCGCAUAAGCCCACGACCCCGCAUCGGGGAGAGGGAAAAGGGGCAAUCCGGUUUGAGAUGGCCUCGCGUCCGGUUAGCUAGUUGGUGAGGUAAUGGCCCACCAAGGCGACGAUCGGUAGCCGGACUGAGAGGUUGAACGGCCACAUUGGGACUGAGACACGGCCCAGACUCCUACGGGAGGCAGCAGUGGGGAAUAUUGCACAAUGGGGGGAAUCCUGAUGCAGCGACGCCGCGUGGAGGAAGAAGGUCUUAGGAUUGUAAACUCCUGUUGUUGAGGAAGAUAAUGACGGUACUCAACAAGGAAGUGACGGCUAACUACGUG